UCCCUAGUGACUCAGUUGGUAAAGAAUCUGCCUGCAAAGCAGAAGACCUGGGUUUGAUUCCUUGGUCAGGAA
rnacentral:tRNA from 1 species